UUGUAAACAAUUUGAGGUCUCCUGGACCUCCAUCUCCUGAUUAGCAUAAAUGCUUCUCAUGCAGACAACACAUCAAAACCUAUUCCCAAAUAAAUCCCACACUACUAGUACAAUUUCACAUUCUCUGUGUUCUACUUCCAAACUCUGGCUCAUCUCAUUUUUGACAUAUACCCAGAAACCUACAAAAAUAUGUUAGGCUUCUGCCUAACCUCCAACCAUGUCCCAACUACCAUGGCUUCUCUUCUUCACACAUUUGCUUGGAGCUCCUUGCAUCCUUGCCCAUGUCCACCCACACUC
rnacentral:lncRNA from 1 species